UACGAAGGGGGCUAGCGUUGCUCGGAAUCACUGGGCGUAAAGGGUGCGUAGGCGGGUCUUUUAAGUCAGGGGUGAAAUCCUGGAGCUCAACUCCAGAACUGCCUUUGAUACUGAAGAUCUUGAGUUCGGGGAGAGGUGAGUGGAACUGCGAGUGUAGAGGGUGAAAUUUCGUAGAUAUUCGCAAGAACACCAGUGGCGAAGGCGGCUCACUGGCCCGAUACUGACGCUGAGGCACGAAAGCGUGGGGAGCAAACAGG
rnacentral:rRNA from 1 species